GGAGAAUUAGUUUGUGCCCGAUGCAGAACAGAGAUUGAUUUAAGGUAUUCCUUCCUAUGCAUAACCAGUACUUGCUGGGGAGACUGGGUACCUGUAAGGACAGAAGAAGGACACAAUCGCUUCUGAGACGCUGGUUAUUGUCCUAGCCCCCCCCCAAAAAAAAUAAAAUAUAUAGCUAAAAUGUGUAAUUAAUGUGCUGUAGUUUUCCAAAAAGAUGCUAACGGAAAUUAUUUUCUACUACCAUCAUGACAUAAUCAUUGGCGUUUGUGUGGGGAAUUUGCGCCCUCUUGUGACGAUACUAAAAAACUCUUCAAGCAUUUAGCUAAUCAGUGAAUUCAGUGAUCAAUGUCAAGGAUUUGUCAUCCACUUUGUUCGGAGAUCUCUUCACAUGCGGUCUCUUCGGAAAGUCAAAUCUCCCAACCUUUAUGUCACUUUACCUUCACAUUUGUUGGAUGACGUCAGGUCACAUUGUCUGUUGUAGUACCAAGAAUGAACUGUAAGAGGCAGCAUGGUGCCACUGGGCAGCCAGACUGCCGCAAUAUACAAAGAAAAGAAAAUAUGGCAGUAGAAAUUAGGAUACCUGUUGGAUUAUGUGGGAUUUUUACAGAGUGGCAAACUGUGAGACAUGUUACAUAUUAUACUGUUUUAGGCACAAUUUAGGCUGAACUCCAAAUUGUUUGAGUUUGGAGCUUCCACUGUACCAUCGUGAUCACCAUUCAGGGCCAAGUGUGCCUCAGGAGAGGAAGAUUUUUCUGGCAUCUCACACUUGAUGAUAAUGGACCACAUUUGGGUAUGAGACUCUUUUGCAGCAGCAGCAGCAAAAUCAUCACUGCAGGCAAGCAAAGAAAUGUUGCAAAUGCCCCUUUGAAAUUCUCUGCCAUAUCACAUCAAUAGUGACCUGCUGUUGGUUCAUUUUCACGGCCAUUUUGGUCUAAAUAUGUUCCGAGGCCCUCAGGCCAGCACUGACACAGUUUGCCAUGGAUAUUCCUCCACACUGUCGGGAACAUCAAAGAUGUGAAAGCCUGGAAGACUUUCCGACUCGAAACGUUUUCCAGCUGACACUCGCGGCCUUCAUUCAGAGGGACAAGGGAUCGGAACGAAGACUGAUGGCUGCAGACUGCACCCACCGGGUGAAAACGCCUCGCUGGCAGGACGUUGGUAUUAUUCAUCCCGUGACAGAAGGCCACCUGCACAUUCCUGGACGUUCUCUCCUCCGUAAAGCCCCAAGCUCGCAACUCCAGCCUGUCGUCGUCUUCGUCUCGCUCAUCCUCGCCCUCGUCGCCUUCCUCAAACACGCUGGUCUCCUCCACGGAAGUCUCCAUAUUGGUCGAUCCACGCCAGGCUGGGGAACUUCUUCGGCUCCUUCACCACCUCCGUCACAUCCUUGAGGACGGCCGCCGUCAGACGGUUGCCGUUGACGGCGAGCGUGGUCAACUUGGGCAAACCGCUUAGGACCGGCAGGAGCAGGCGC